rfam:Trichomonas vaginalis G3, whole genome shotgun sequence.
GAGGUAGUAGCUCAACGAAAGAGCAUGGGAUUGCAGUUCCCCGGGUUGUUGGUUCGAAUCCAGCUUGCCCCU